CCCAAAUCACGUUUCACUUUGCUUCUCUAAAAUUAGGGCAACUCCAUCUUUGGUUAUUUUAAUUAAGGAUAUGUGAUUCGUCCUUUGCUUAAAACUAGGGUUAAACUACAUGGGAUUGAUAAAACGAACGGCGAAGUUGCUGUUCAGGAGUCGAAAUAACAUAGUGUGGUGAACAAGUCGAUCAAAAUUGAAGCUUGUAACAACAAUUCGUUGGAAUCUAUGGUGGUUAUAUUGGUAAAAGGAACAAUUAAGUGGUCAAACCUAUACACUGUAGAAAGUGGUUAGUUACUUGCUGCUCAUGAACAGCGGCCAGGCUACCUAGCGUUUUUGUGGCAUAGAUGGGCUAAUUUUAAGAUGAAGAUGCUAUUUUUAGCCAAUAAUGUUGUACAAAAAGAGAAGGAUCACUAGAGGUCCAUAGUAUUGGUAUUGGUACUUUAGUCCACAACAACUCUUUACCGGUUAACGAAAUAUCAUCUUCAAGAAGAUAUAAUAUUAAUGGACAAGAAAGACUUUUGGACAAUUGAUCUUUAAAAGUUUGUUGACAUUGUAGUUAAGGGUAGAUAUCCUAAGAAGCUUUGGAGCUAUGUUUUAUAACAAUGAAAUUCUCACCUAAAAGAAUGUUUAGACUCCUCGUAUAUGAUAAUGGCAGGGUAGAUAUCCUAAGAAGCUUUGGAGCUAUGUUUUAUAACAAUGAAAUUCUCACCCAAAAGAAUGUUUAGACUCCUCGUAUAUGAUAAUGGUAGGGUAGAUAUCCUAAGAAGCUUUGGAGCUAUGUUUUAUAACAAUGAAAUUCUCACCCAAAAGAAUGUUUAGACUCCUCGUGUAUACAUUAGAAAUUUGGAAUAUGUUUCG
rnacentral:lncRNA from 1 species